rnacentral:rRNA from 1 species
UACGGGGGGAGCAAGCGUUGUUCGGAUUUACUGGGCGUAAAGGGCGCGUAGGCGGUCGUGACAAGUCACUUGUGAAAUCUCCGGGCUUAACUCGGAACGGUCAAGUGAUACUGUCGGACUAGAGUACAGAAGGGCAACUGGAAUUCUCGGUGUAGCGGUGAAAUGCGUAGAUAUCGAGAGGAACACCUGCGGCGAAGGCGGGUUGCUGGGCUGAUACUGACGCUGAGGCGCGAAAGCCAGGGGAGCGAACGGG